GUACUAUUCUUUGGUCGGAGAGUUUUCUUCUACAUGCACGUGCCUUUAAGGUUUUCCGUUUGCUGUGGUUUGGAAACCAAACCUUGUCCUGGCUUUUUCCAGUAUUUGACGAUCCAAUGGUCAAUUAAUUGUGGAAUGCCGCUAAUUGGGAGGCUGACUUAGCGACAAACAUGGUGCCAGGAAGGAUUCAUUCCUUCAUUGGAUGUGUUAAUGUGCCUGACAGUACUGUUUUUCUUUGUCUCCUUUGGUUUGGGGUUGGAACGGUUGUCAUCGUAGCUUUGUACAUUGACAGCUGAUUUUUUUCUAUUUUCUUUUUUACUUCCAACUGACAUUGACCAACAUUGACCAACUGACAUUCGCUCAAUUUUUAAUGCUGAUAUAGAUACUGAAUGUUUUCAAGUGUUUGGUUAUUCAGUGAAGCUUAAAAAUCCAAUUGGGUGGAAUUUCAUUUGAAUGUGUCUCAGCAUUUCAACAUUUUUAUCCAAGUUUGAAACUGGUGUCUUUCAUUCAUGAAGUAAACUCCAAAUGAUUCUGCUACGUUUCACUUUUUCGAGAUGUUGAGACUUGCAGUGGAAGACUCUUGACAAAAAGAAGAGAGUGGACGUUGAAGCUUUGGAUUUAGUUUGUUCAUGGGUCCUAGUUGGCUAGUCAUUUUGGAAACCUGUGUGGCCUCUUUCUUUCACUCUCUUAAAUUAAUUGGAGAUUGUUUUUUAAUCUUAUGGCAUGCUGGUUUCAAUUAGGCCUUUUAUACUUUCUCUUCGCGUUUAUAUAUUGGCCAUCAAAUUCUCAGUGC